UGAGUUUGAUCCUGGCUCAGGAUGAACGCUGGCGGCGUGCCUAAUACAUGCAAGUCGAGCGAACGGACGAGAAGCUUGCUUCUCUGAUGUUAGCGGCGGACGGGUGAGUAACACGUGGAUAACCUACCUAUAAGACUGGGAUAACUUCGGGAAACCGGAGCUAAUACCGGAUAAUAUUUUGAACCGCAUGGUUCAAAAGUGAAAGACGGUCUUGCUGUCACUUAUAGAUGGAUCCGCGCUGCAUUAGCUAGUUGGUAAGGUAACGGCUUACCAAGGCAACGAUGCAUAGCCGACCUGAGAGGGUGAUCGGCCACACUGGAACUGAGACACGGUCCAGACUCCUACGGGAGGCAGCAGUAGGGAAUCUUCCGCAAUGGGCGAAAGCCUGACGGAGCAACGCCGCGUGAGUGAUGAAGGUCUUCGGAUCGUAAAACUCUGUUAUUAGGGAAGAACAUAUGUGUAAGUAACUGUGCACAUCUUGACGGUACCUAAUCAGAAAGCCACGGCUAACUACGUGCCAGCAGCCGCGGUAAUACGUAGGUGGCAAGCGUUAUCCGGAAUUAUUGGGCGUAAAGCGCGCGUAGGCGGUUUUUUAAGUCUGAUGUGAAAGCCCACGGCUCAACCGUGGAGGGUCAUUGGAAACUGGAAAACUUGAGUGCAGAAGAGGAAAGUGGAAUUCCAUGUGUAGCGGUGAAAUGCGCAGAGAUAUGGAGGAACACCAGUGGCGAAGGCGACUUUCUGGUCUGUAACUGACGCUGAUGUGCGAAAGCGUGGGGAUCAAACAGGAUUAGAUACCCUGGUAGUCCACGCCGUAAACGAUGAGUGCUAAGUGUUAGGGGGUUUCCGCCCCUUAGUGCUGCAGCUAACGCAUUAAGCACUCCGCCUGGGGAGUACGACCGCAAGGUUGAAACUCAAAGGAAUUGACGGGGACCCGCACAAGCGGUGGAGCAUGUGGUUUAAUUCGAAGCAACGCGAAGAACCUUACCAAAUCUUGACAUCCUUUGACAACUCUAGAGAUAGAGCCUUCCCCUUCGGGGGACAAAGUGACAGGUGGUGCAUGGUUGUCGUCAGCUCGUGUCGUGAGAUGUUGGGUUAAGUCCCGCAACGAGCGCAACCCUUAAGCUUAGUUGCCAUCAUUAAGUUGGGCACUCUAAGUUGACUGCCGGUGACAAACCGGAGGAAGGUGGGGAUGACGUCAAAUCAUCAUGCCCCUUAUGAUUUGGGCUACACACGUGCUACAAUGGACAAUACAAAGGGCAGCGAAACCGCGAGGUCAAGCAAAUCCCAUAAAGUUGUUCUCAGUUCGGAUUGUAGUCUGCAACUCGACUACAUGAAGCUGGAAUCGCUAGUAAUCGUAGAUCAGCAUGCUACGGUGAAUACGUUCCCGGGUCUUGUACACACCGCCCGUCACACCACGAGAGUUUGUAACACCCGAAGCCGGUGGAGUAACCUUUUAGGAGCUAGCC
rnacentral:rRNA from 1 species